ACAAAAUUUUUACGUUGGUUGUCGCCUACCGCAACCCUCCUCCUUUAUUCGGGCUUGGGAACGGCUAAGCACACAAUAUGACCUACGGAGGCUCUAGUUAGACAAGUAGAGCACAUUAGAUUAGAUGAUAGAAAGAAAAGAAGGCGUAGACCUAGACUGACCUGGAUGAGAGUAGUAUAACAUAACCUAGAAGUAUUACACAUUUCUG
rnacentral:misc_RNA from 1 species